CGGGCAACAGUCUUUAGUAAAUAUAUAUACAUUCAAAAUUCAGUGACAUUAUGAAGUUUGUAUUUAUAUUUGUCUUCAUCUUAAUUAUAGGAACGAUUAGUGCUGGACCAACCACUUGUCCACCUAAUUCGAAAUUGAAGGAGUUGGGAGGGUCUACCUGCUAUUAUCCUGUGCCUACUUGUCAAAAUCCAAAUCCAAAAUUCAUAAAUGAUCCGCAAGGAUGUACAAUGGAUUUGAUAAGGGACUGUUGGUGUAAUGAAGGAUACUUGAUGAAUGAUGAAAAAUGUGUACUCAAAGAAAACUGUCCUUAAAAAUGAAGUUUGUUCAAUUUUUCAUUUCUGUAUAAAUACAUUUGUUGAUUUAAAUAAAUAAUACUACUGUCAGUAACUUUUCUAAUUUGUUUAUCAACAUACUAUUAAUUGACUAUAUCAUAUGGAUAAAGAAUUGUACUCCUAAGUUUGUAAUGCAAAGAUAGAUCUAUUAGUCUAAGACCUGUAACUUGUAGAUAAAUUUAGAAGUAUAGAUUUUUAGACACUCAAUCUCUCAGACCUGCCACUAAUAAAGUGUGGUCCUGCUAAGCCUACCAAAUUAGACUUUUGAAUUACUCAUGAUGCAUCAGGUAUGGAAAAUACACUAACUUUUAUGAAAAGUAUUUCAUAAAGUUUUACUGUCCAAAAACUUGAAAAUAUAGAAUUUAUGAUUUCGGUGCUUAUUAGGUUACAGUAAGCAAUUGCUCAAUAGCACAAUCAUAGAAAUUUAAAUAGAUUUCAUUAACCUUGAGAGGUUAUUUUGUCCUUAUUACUUCGUACGGAUUGCAUCAGUACUUAUAACGGAAUAUUUUUACUACUUUAAGCAAGUUGGUUGUUUGUUAUGUAGUAUGAGACAUUAUUCCUCACUAUUUUCAUUUCAUUUUGUAUGUGUUUUUAGGAACUAAUAUAACUGUCUGUUUAAGUAGCGCUCCCUGUAAGCACUUAUUUCUACUUUGACAUAAUUUACUUGAAGAUAUUUCUUGAUUUUAUUGUUCUGUAUAAACCACGGUACGUGCGCGCUUGUGCGUAAAAUUUUAGACUGAAGCAUCUCCAUAAGCUUGAACUGAGAUUUUGUUGCUGUCCACCACAACUGGAUCCCAUUGGUUCAUAUUGGCGUGAAGGCGACUUUGAAAGGAAAAUUUGGAUUCAUUGUUUGUGAUUUGUUUCUUUUGAGAAAGGAUAUGUGUUUUCAGGGUAGCCCCGUCUGAAUUGAUACCCAGAUAUCUCAAGAACCUAAUACCUAGGGAAUACCUAACUCAUAUAGGAGCCCCCAGACUUGAACAACGGGGCUUAGUUUCGGCCAACGCUGGAAAACCCGGCUUUGGCAAACCAAUAAUGUCAUAAGCCUGAUUGAAAUCUGGGUAGCUCGACCUCGGCCAUCCUAUAGUCAGCCAGGCUUGGCAGAAUUCUGAGUAACCAUACGUCGGCCACCCUAUAGCCACAAGCUGGGCUGAGCUCUGGGUAACCCGACCUCGGCUAUCUUAUAGUCAGCCAAGCUUGUCAGAACUCUCAAUAACUAUAUAAAGUUUUGUUCUAAUAUCUUAUCUAUAAUAGAUAUCUGAACAUUAGAAGAAAUAAAUAAUUUUAUAUGAAUAAAAUUCUUUUAUGCAUAAAAAACCCAAAAAAUAGGAUAAUAAAAAAAAUAUCAUUUA